UAUGUAUUCCCUCCGUCCGAAUAUAUUUGUCCUAGAAAUGAAUGUAUCUAGAUUUAUUUUAGUUAUAGAUACGUCUAUUAUAUUCAUUUCUAGAACAAGUAUUUCCGAACGAAGGGAGUACUUU
rfam:Hordeum vulgare subsp. vulgare, WGS project CAJW01000000 data, contig: morex_contig_247656